CGGCGCCCGGCGCGGCGGCGUCGCGGCUCGCCUCGGCGAUGGCGCGUUCGAGCAGCGCGGCGCCGCC
rnacentral:tRNA from 1 species